AGCCCAGCUCCUCGGUUUCCAUCUCCACCCUCCUCUCCCUACACCCUCUCUGAAACCUCAUAAACCCUAGCUCUCUCAACCGAAGGGGUUUUCAGAGCUCAAUCUUCUCCACUAAUGGAUGAACUGGACAACCAGAAACUCACUCUUGUUGCAAGGAAGCCGUGCUUUGGCCUCCCAACAGCUUGCCCUUCUUGCUUGCCUGUUUACAUCUACCUCAGAUUCGCUCAAGUUCCCUUUGAUCUGAGUUUCAAUCUCAUUCAUCCUGAUUCUGAUCAAAUUCCUUACAUUGAGUCUGGUGCUUAUGUGGCCUAUAACAAUGAGAAGGGUGGGGUUCUUGAAAGUUUAAAGGAGGAUGGUAUUAUUGAUUUGGACUCUCAACUUCAUGCUAUCCCAGAAUGGUUAUCCAUGAAGGUGAUGAUCAGCACCUGGCUGGAAGAGGCAAUCAUGUAUGAACUCUGGGUAUGCUCUGAUGGAAGUUCUGCUAAGAAGAUCUAUUAUUCUGAUCUCCCAUGGCCAAUAGGAAAUAUUUUAUACUUCAAGCAGAUCCAUGCUGUGAAACAGCUACUUGGGAUAACAAAAGACAAUGCAGAACGAAGAGAAGAAGAGAUUCGCAGGAGAGCAACCAUCGCAUAUGGAGCUUUGUCAACUAGGUUAGGGGAGCAAACCUUUUUCUUUGAGAACAGGCCAAGUGGUGUGGAUGCAUUGUUUCUUGGGCAUGCCCUUUUUACUCUUCAAGCUUUACCUGACACAUCGGUGUUGAGGAGCAAGCUCUUAGAGCACAGUAAUCUUGUGCAGUAUGCUGAAAAACUUAAGACAGAAUUCAUGGAAGCUGGUUCUUCAUCUUCUUCUGUCCCACGGUUCCCAGCAGAACCUUCAUCAUCAACAUCAAGAAGAGGUCCUUCAAAUUGGAGUUCGAAAGCCAAGAGUAAACCAAAGAGGGAAAAGACUGAGGAAGAGAAAACUUUCAGAAGAAGGGCCAAAUAUUUCUUGGUAACACAACUGGUUGCAGUUCUAGUUUUUCUGUCUCUCCUGGGUGUAAGUGGUGGCGAUAAUGAAGUGGACCUUGAUGAUGAGGAUGAUGAUUACAAUUAUUAACAAAGCAUACAUUCUUCAGUUUAAGUUUCAGUUCUUUCUUUCCUAUUACCGGCACAAGGCUAGAACCCUACAUGAGGAUUAGCUUGUUCUCUCCUAAUUUGUGUCUCAUUUGUUCUGUAUUUUCCAUUGAAAUUUUGGAAAAUAAAAAUCCAUACAAAUCAAAGAAUUCUUGUGCAAUAGAUCAAGCUCUAUUUUGGGCCCAUCAAGUGGAUGAGCCGAAUUAAAUCAGUGCUGUUACAUGAGGUCUGAUUGUGGCUAUUGUCGUGAAGUUGGUUUGUUGUGUUAAUGGUGUAUUUGUAUGUUACAAGGCAUCUCCUGUGAUGUUUAUAUUUUUAAGUUAAUUGUUCAUUUGCAAA